CGGAGGGCCCCCGGAGUGGGGCCGGCGGGUUAAUUUGAUUCACCACGGGAAAACUCACCCGGCCCGGACACUGGAAGGAUUGACAGAUAGAGAGCUCUUUCUUGAUUCAUGGGGGGGGGGGGCAUGGCCGCCCUCAUUUGAGAAAAGGAGUGCCAGGGGAUUUCCGACAGAAACUAACUCUAUCCUGUUAUUAGGGGUGGGCCCCUCCCUCGGGGAGACUACUCGGGUGCGGGGGGGGGUCUUUUGGGCGCAGCAGCACUAUGAGGGGUGGGCCGGGGCCCGAGCCACACAUAACAAGUGCCCAACAGAGAAUCCCCCCGAAGAUUUCUUAAAGAACCGGCGGGGGGACAUUUCCGGGAAACAAAAAUUUUUUGUUUCCCGGGGAAAAAAGGUUUUAAAUUUAAAAUUUAAAAAAUUGGGGGGGGGCCCCCCCGGGGGGGCCCGGGGUUUAUUUUUGCCCCCCCGGGAAAACUUUUCCCGGGCCAACUUGGGAAUUGAAAAUUAAACCUUUUUUUUUUU
rnacentral:rRNA from 1 species